GUUUCUGUUGUGUAGCGGUUAUCACGAUCGCCUAACACGUGAUAGGUCCCUGGUUUGAAACCGGGCAGAAACA